rnacentral:rRNA from 1 species
GUCCACGCCGUAAACUAUCAAUACUCGUUUUCGGGGACUUCGGUCUUCGGAGACUAAGCGAAAGUGAUAAGUAUUGCACCUGGGGAGUACGAUCGCAAGGUUGAAACUCAAAGGAAUUGACGGGGGCCCGCACAAGCGGUGGAGCAUGUGGUUUAAUUCGAUGAUACGCGAGGAACCUUACCAGGGCUUAAAUGUAGAGGGAAUAUAGUGGAAACAUUAUAGUCUUCGGACCGUCUACAAGGUGCUGCAUGGCUGUCGU